GUACUCACUUGAGCAGCACAUAUACUAAAACUGGAACCAUACAGAGAAAAUUAGCAUGGCCCCUGGGCAAGGAUGACAUUAACAUUUGUGAAGUAUUCCAUAUUUAA
ensembl:snRNA U6 U6 spliceosomal RNA